rnacentral:rRNA from 1 species
ACUCAAAGGAAUAGACGGGGACCCGCACAAGCAGAGGAGGAUGGGGUUUAAUUCGAAGCUACGCGAAGAACCUUACCAAGACUUGACAUCCAGAGAAUCCCCGCGAAAGCAGGGAGUGCCUUCGGGAACUCUGUGACAGAUGCUGCAUGGCCGUCGUCAGCUCGUGUCGUGAGAUGUUUGGUUAAGUCCAUCAACGAGCGCAACCCUCGUCGUGUGUUAUAUUUUCACGCGAGACCGCCCGGGCCAACCGGGAGGAAGGUGGGGAUGACGUCUGGUCAGCAUGGCUCUUACGUCUUGGGCUACACCCGUCCUACAAUGGCUACUACAACGCGCUGCCAAACCGUAAGGUGGAGCAAAUCGCAUCAAAAGUAGUCUCAGUUCGGAUUGAGGGCUGAAACUCGCCCUCAUGAAGUCGGAUUUGCUAGUAAUGGUGGGUCAGCCAUACCGCCGUGAAUACGUUCCCGGGUCUUGCACACACCGCCCGU